GGAGUUCAUCGGGGACGCUGAGCCACCUGCAUGGCAUGCAGGGGGUCAGGGGUUCGAGUCCCCUCAGAUCCA
rnacentral:tRNA from 1 species